rnacentral:rRNA from 1 species
UUUUAGACAAUGGGCGCAAGCCUGAUCUAGCCAUGCCCCGUGAGCGAUGAAGGCCUUAGGGUUGUAAAGCUCUUUCAGAUGGGAAGAUAAUGACGGUACCAUCAGAAGAAGCCCCGGCUAACUCCGUGCCAGCAGCCGCGGUAAUACGGAGGGGGCUAGCGUUGUUCGGAAUUACUGGGCGUAAAGCGCGCGUAGGCGGAUUGGAAAGUUGGGGGUGAAAUCCCGGGGCUCAACCUCGGAACUGCCUUCAAAACUCCCAGUCUUGAGUUCGAGAGAGGUGAGUGGAAUUCCGAGUGUAGAGGUGAAAUUCGUAGAUAUUCGGAGGAACACCAGUGGCGAAGGCGGCUCACUGGCUCGAUACUACGCUGAGUCAAAUC